rnacentral:rRNA from 1 species
UACGAAGGGUGCAAGCGUUACUCGGAAUUACUGGGCGUAAAGCGUGCGUAGGCGGUUUGUUAAGUCUGAUGUGAAAUCCCCGGGCUCAACCUGGGACGUGCAUUGGAAACUGGCGAUCUAGAGUACGGUAGAGGGUGGUGGAAUUCCCGGUGGUAGCAGUGAAAUGCGUAGGAGAAUCGGGAGGAACACUCGUGGCGAAGGCAGGCCACCGUGGACCAGUACUGACGCUGAGGCACGAAAGCGUGGGGAGGCAAACAGG